UCCUCGAUAGUCUAGUGGUGAGGAUAUCGGCUUGUCAUUCAUCGAUUCGCCGGGGACCGGGGUUCAAUUCCCCGUCGAGGAG
rnacentral:tRNA from 1 species